rfam:Macellibacteroides sp. HH-ZS contig_00044, whole genome shotgun sequence.
CUCAGAGCAGGGAAACCUGCCUGAGAAGUCAGCAGAGGUCAUAGUAGUUACAGGCAACGAGCCGGCAAGUGUUUCGCACCAGAUAGUCGGAGGUCUCACAGAGAUAACGAAGGAC